GCCCAGGUCGCUUAACCUGGUAUAGCGAGAGCGUGAAAAUCAACACAAGAAAUCAAACAAAGAUUUGAUUUCUGUGCAAAAAUGUGAUAGUUUUCACAUUUUUUGCAACGAUUGAUUUUCUGCUCUGAAAUUAAGUAGUUUCUUAAUUUCAUGAGUCUGAAACUCUUUUGUCCUGACCGACUUUGUGGGUUCGAAUAGUUUCCGAAACUCGUGAGGAAACGAACGAGAGCGGAUCUCGACUUUCCCACCCUGGGCG
rnacentral:tRNA from 1 species